rnacentral:rRNA from 1 species
CAGUAGCCGCGGUAAUACGUAGGGAGCAAGCGUUGUUCGGAUUUACUGGGCGUAAAGGGCGCGUAGGCGGCGCGGUAAGUCACUUGUGAAAUCUCUGAGCUUAACUCAGAACGGCCAAGUGAUACUGCUGUGCUAGAGUGCGGGAGAGGCAACCGGAAUUCUUGGUGUAGCGGUGAAAUGCGUAGAUAUCAAGAGGAACACCUGAGGCGAAGGCGGGUUGCUGGGCAUUAACUGACGCUGAGGAGCGAAAGCAUGGGGAGCGGACAGGAUUAGAUACCCGCGUAGUCCCUGUCUCUUAUAC